rnacentral:rRNA from 1 species
CCUACGGGAGGCAGCAGUGGGGAAUAUUGGACAAUGGGGGGAACCCUGAUUCAGCGACGCCGCGUGAGUGAAGAAGUAUUUCGGUAUGUAACGCUCUAUCAGCAGGGAAGAACAUGACGGUACCUGACUAAGAAGAGCCGGCUAACUACGGGCCAGCAGCCGCGGGAAUACGUAGGGGGCAAGCGUUAUCCGGAUGUACUGGGUGUAUAGGGAGCGUAGACGGUGCAGCAAGUCUGAUGUGAAAGGUCGGGGCCCAACCCCCGGACUGCAUUGGAAACUGUUUAACUUGAGUACAGGAGAGGUAAGCGGAAUUCCUAGUGUAGCGGUGAAAUGCGUAGAUAUUAGGAGGAACACCAGUGGCGAAGGCGGCUUACUGGACUGUAACUGACGUUGAGGCUCGAAAGCGUGGGGAGCAAACAGGAUUAGAUACCCGUGUAGUC